rnacentral:rRNA from 1 species
AACGAACGCUGGCGGCAGGCCUAACACAUGCAAGUCGAGCGAGGACUUCGGUCCUAGCGGCGGACGGGUGAGUAACGCGUGGGAACGUGCCCUUUGCUACGGAAUAGCCCCGGGAAACUGGGAGUAAUACCGUAUGUGCCCUUCGGGGGAAAGAUUUAUCGGCAAAGGAUCGGCCCGCGUUGGAUUAGGUAGUUGGUGGGGUAAUGGCCUACCAAGCCGACGAUCCAUAGCUGGUUUGAGAGGAUGAUCAGCCACACUGGGACUGAGACACGGCCCAGACUCCUACGGGAGGCAGCAGUGGGGAAUCUUAGACAAUGGGGGAAACCCUGAUCUAGCCAUGCCGCGUGAGCGAUGAAGGCCUUAGGGUUGUAAAGCACUUUCAGUGGGGAAGAUAAUGACGGUACCCACAGAAGAAGCCCCGGCUAACUCCGUUCCAGCCGCCGCGGUAAUAC